rnacentral:rRNA from 1 species
AUACGUAGGGGGCGAGCGUUGUCCGGAAUGACUGGGCGUAAAGGGCGUGUAGGCGGCGCUGUAAGUCUGGAGUGAAAGUCCCGUUUUCAAGGCGGGAAACGCUUUGGAUACUCGGAAGGUUGAGUUCGGAAUAGGUAAGAGGAAUUUCUAGUGGGGCGGGGGAAUGCGUAGAGAUUGGGAGGAACACCAGUGGCGAAGGCGACUUACUGGGCCGUAACUGACGCUGAGGCGCGAAAGCGUGGGGAGCGAACAGGAUUAGAUACCCUGGUAGUCCACGCGGUAAACGAUGAAUGCUAGGUGUUGCGGGUAUCGACCCCUGCAGUGCCGGAGUAAACACAAUAAGCAUUCCGCCUGGGGAGUACGGCCGCAAGGUUGAAACUCAAAGGAAUUGACGGGG